UACGAAGGGUGCAAGCGUUACUCGGAAUUACUGGGCGUAAAGCGUGCGUAGGUGGUGAGUUAAGUCUGUCGUGAAAGCCCCGGGCUCAACCUGGGAAUGGCGAUGGAUACUGGCUCGCUAGAGUGCGGUAGAGGAGAGUGGAAUUCACGGUGUAGCAGUGAAAUGCGUAGAUAUCGUGAGGAAGACCAGUGGCGAAGGCGGGUCUCUGGACAGUUCCUGACACUGAGGCACGAAGGCCAGGGGAGCAAACGGG
rnacentral:rRNA from 1 species